UAAGGUGGUGGCCUUAAAGGUCCGGUGCCAAAACACGUCUACAUUAGAGACUGAUACGUUCCCCCUUAAAUCAGCGAAAUUUUGGGAUUCCCUCCCAGUACCAAGUUGAUGAAAUUACCUUCAGUAAAAUUAGGUCUAUUCAUUUCCGAUUCCUCCACUCGUUAAACCAUUCCAGUUCUCCAACCACGUAGCCACCGUCGAUCGCAACUAAUUCUCCGGCCAACUUCACCUCCUUCGUCUUCAAUCACUCUCUCGAUCACAUUGUGUCUCCAUUUCUUCUGUUUCCUUUUCAUCUACAUUUCUGAUAUCAAAGAUGCUAACAGGUCAUGGAGGUUACUCGUUUCAGUCGAUUUGAAAGAAUCGAUCACGAACUCUCAAAAUAUUUGGGACGAUUUGGUGUAAAACACAACAGAAAGGAAACGAAAGUCGUAAGGCUUGAUUUGAGGUAUGAUUUACUUAGUAAGCACAGAUUAAAAAUCAUAGAUUAAGCUUUUUACUGCUCUGUGCUGUUGUUUGGUUGACUCCUUGUACCCAAAAUUCACCAGAAGGAUCAUUUAUUCACUAAAACCAUCGUCCGUUGAUGAUAAUUUCUGGAUUUAUAUCGAACCAGCAGUUGAGUUUUGGGUUGAUGUUUUAGAAUUUGUAACAAGGAAUUAGUUCAAAUCUGAGUUUCUGUGGAGUAGUAGUUCUUUGUUUAUUACAUAUAUAUACAUUGGUGUUGAUAGAAUUUCUUAAUACUAUAUGGUUUAUUUGUGUGUAUAUGAUCUUCGUUGUUGGUUUGAAGAAGUAAUUUUCAAGUAGCCUUCAUGUUCUAUUAUCAUACAUAUGCUAUAAUUAUCUUACUUCCUACAAAAAAAUGCAAAUUGUAAGCAUGGGUGGAUCCAACCUUUUAUCAUGCAUGGUGUGGACAGUGGACUUUCAACUUUGAUUAUCAGUGUUGUGAUGAUUUUUUAUAUUUAAUUUAGGAUAUAAAUCGUUAUAUUAGCACAAGAAAUUGCAACAAACUUUGAUUUACUUAUGUAUUAUAUAAUACACACAAUAUUUUUCAUGUUAUAUGUGUGUUUGUUUGGUAUAUUAUGCAUUUCAAAUUCCUUUUAGCUUCUGAAAACUCUGAAAAGGAGCGAAAAUGAUUGGAUUAUUCAAGAAAACGUCUUCAAUCAUCACCAAAAUUUCAUCGCGUUGUUAUUGGAAUAACUCCUUUGAUCAGCAUCUCCGGAGAUCUAUGGCUGCAUUGAACGCAUUUGAAAGAUCACAAACCGGAUUUGUGGAAGAUCCGAACAAGUGUUUUCCUGAAGAGAAGACUUUUGAUAAAGAUAUGUUCUUCGAUUCAAUGAUGGCAAAUUUUUAAAAAAAUGGUGACUUGAACUUGAACGAAUAUCCCUACAAUGACAAUGAUUCCAAAGUGGUGCUUCUUACACCACGUUUUUAUAGAGCCUUAACAAAUGGAAUAAAAAGUGGAUUAAUCGAUCAAAAUCACACCAUCGUUGGUUACCUUUAUGAGAUGGAGAAAGAAGUGGGUGAAGGGCAAUGGAUACGUGGUGAAUGCUAUUUAGCCACAACACUCAGAAAUACAAUGGUGGCAAUUUUGGAAAAUGGGUCCAGGCCCAUCAACCAUGUUGGAGAGGGUUGGUUUUCCCAAUGGCUUCGGUAUGGAGAUAUACCCAUUCUCUAAAAUCUAAAUAUAUGCCUUCAAAUUUCUAUUAAACACAUGGAUUUAUCUUUUGAUGAACACACGGACCAAAUUUAUAGUUUUCUCUUUUUAUAACAAGUGUUUGAUUUGUAAAGAAUCUUGCAUAUAUUAAUGUUGAGUGGCAAAAUUAACCUCCUCUA